rnacentral:rRNA from 1 species
GACGAACUGUCCUAACGUUGUUCGGAAUCACUGGGCUUAAAGGGCGCGUAGGCGGUCCAUCAAGUCAGGGGUGAAAUCCUGCAGCUUAACUGUAGAAGUGCCUUUGAUACUGGUGGCCUCGAGGGAGGCAGGGGCGUGCGGAACUUUGGGUGGAGCGGUGAAAUGCGUAGAUAUCCAAAGGAACACCGGUGGCGAAAGCGGCGCGCUGGACCUCUUCUGACGCUGAGGCGCGAAAGCCAGGGGAGCAAACGGG